UUGAAUACCACAAGACUUUUUUUAAGUGAUGAAAAGUCUUGAUUGAAUACCUCAAGACUUUUUUAAAAUGACAAAGAGUCUUGAUUGAAUAUCACAUGACUUUUUUUAAGUUACAAAAAAUCUUGAUCGAAUACCACAAGACUUUUUCAUAAUUAAAAAGUCUUUUAAAAUCCCAUAGAAUCCUAAUCUAAUACAUCCCCCUAAGUCUAAUCAUUCUUGUGUCAUAUAAAGGAUAGAUCAGGGGUCUAGUUACAUCCGGUCUGGUUGGGCGAUUUUGUAGAAAC
rnacentral:lncRNA from 1 species